CAGCCGCCACGGGAAUACGUAGGUGGCAAGCGUUGUCCGGAAUUAUUGGGCGUAAAGGGCUCGCAGGCGGUUUCUUAAGUCUGAUGUGAAAGCCCCCGGCUCAACCGGGGAGGGUCAUUGGAAACUGGGAAACUUGAGUGCAGAAGAGGAGAGUGGAAUUCCACGUGUAGCGGUGAAAUGCGUAGAGAUGUGGAGGAACACCAGUGGCGAAGGCGACUCUCUGGUCUGUAACUGACGCUGAGGAGCGAAAGCGUGGGGAGCGAACAGGAUUAGAGACCCGCGUAGUCCCUGUCUCUUAUAC
rnacentral:rRNA from 1 species